GGGUUGUGAGGUUAAGCGACUAAGCGUACACGGUGGAUGCCCUGGCAGUCAGAGGCGAUGAAGGACGUGCUAAUCUGCGAUAAGCGUCGGUGAGGUGAUAUGAACCGUUAUAACCGGCGAUUUCCGAAUGGGGAAACCCAGUGUGUUUCGACACACUAUCAUUAACUGAAUCCAUAGGUUAAUGAGGCGAACCGGGGGAACUGAAACAUCUAAGUACCCCGAGGAAAAGAAAUCAACCGAGAUUCCCCCAGUAGCGGCGAGCGAACGGGGAGGAGCCCAGAGCCUGAAUCAGUGUGUGUGUUAGUGGAAGCGUCUGGAAAGGCGUGCGAUACAGGGUGACAGCCCCGUACACAAAAAUGCACAUGCUGUGAGCUCGAUGAGUAGGGCGGGACACGUGGUAUCCUGUCUGAAUAUGGGGGGACCAUCCUCCAAGGCUAAAUACUCCUGACUGACCGAUAGUGAACCAGUACCGUGAGGGAAAGGCGAAAAGAACCCCGGCGAGGGGAGUGAAAAAGAACCUGAAACCGUGUACGUACAAGCAGUGGGAGGGUUAACCGAAUAGGGGAGCCGAAGGGAAACCGAGUCUUAACUGGGCGUUAAGUUGCAGGGUAUAGACCCGAAACCCGGUGAUCUAGCCAUGGGCAGGUUGAAGGUUGGGUAACACUAACUGGAGGACCGAACCGACUAAUGUUGAAAAAUUAGCGGAUGACUUGUGGCUGGGGGUGAAAGGCCAAUCAAACCGGGAGAUAGCUGGUUCUCCCCGAAAGCUAUUUAGGUAGCGCCUCGUGAACUCAUCUCCGGGGGUAGAGCACUGUUUCGGCAAGGGGGUCAUCCCGACUUACCAACCCGAUGCAAACUGCGAAUACCGGAGAAUGUUAUCACGGGAGACACACGGCGGGUGCUAACGUCCGUCGNGAAGAGGGAAACAACCCAGACCGCCAGCUAAGGUCCCAAAGUCAUGGUUAAGUGGGAAACGAUGUGGGAAGGCCCAGACAGCCAGGAUGUUGGCUUAGAAGCAGCCAUCAUUUAAAGAAAGCGUAAUAGCUCACUGGUCGAGUCGGCCUGCGCGGAAGAUGUAACGGGGCUAAACCAUGCACCGAAGCUGCGGCAGCGACGCUUAUGCGUUGUUGGGUAGGGGAGCGUUCUGUAAGCCUGUGAAGGUGGCCUGUGAGGGUUGCUGGAGGUAUCAGAAGUGCGAAUGCUGACAUAAGUAACGAUAAAGCGGGUGAAAAGCCCGCUCGCCGGAAGACCAAGGGUUCCUGUCCAACGUUAAUCGGGGCAGGGUGAGUCGACCCCUAAGGCGAGGCCGAAAGGCGUAGUCGAUGGGAAACAGGUUAAUAUUCCUGUACUUGGUGUUACUGCGAAGGGGGGACGGAGAAGGCUAUGUUGGCCGGGCGACGGUUGUCCCGGUUUAAGCGUGUAGGCUGGUUUUCCAGGCAAAUCCGUAGGUGAAGCGACUUGCUCGUGGAGCUGAAAUCAGUCGAAGAUACCAGCUGGCUGCAACUGUUUAUUAAAAACACAGCACUGUGCAAACACGAAAGUGGACGUAUACCUUGAUCGAAGCCCCGGUAAACGGCGGCCGUAACUAUAACGGUCCUAAGGUAGCGAAAUUCCUUGUCGGGUAAGUUCCGACCUGCACGAAUGGCGUAAUGAUGGCCAGGCUGUCUCCACCCGAGACUCAGUGAAAUUGAACUCGCUGUGAAGAUGCAGUGUACCCGCGGCAAGACGGAAAGACCCCGUGAACCUUUACUAUAGCUUGACACUGAACAUUGAGCCUUGAUGUGUAGGAUAGGUGGGAGGCUUUGAAGUGUGGACGCCAGUCUGCAUGGAGCCGACCUUGAAAUACCACCCUUUAAUGUUUGAUGUUCUAACGUUGACCCGUAAUCCGGGUUGCGGACAGUGUCUGGUGGGUAGUUUGACUGGGGCGGUCUCCUCCUAAAGAGUAACGGAGGAGCACGAAGGUUGGCUAAUCCUGGUCGGACAUCAGGAGGUUAGUGCAAUGGCAUAAGCCAGCUUGACUGCGAGCGUGACGGCGCGAGCAGGUGCGAAAGCAGGUCAUAGUGAUCCGGUGGUUCUGAAUGGAAGGGCCAUCGCUCAACGGAUAAAAGGUACUCCGGGGAUAACAGGCUGAUACCGCCCAAGAGUUCAUAUCGACGGCGGUGUUUGGCACCUCGAUGUCGGCUCAUCACAUCCUGGGGCUGAAGUAGGUCCCAAGGGUAUGGCUGUUCGCCAUUUAAAGUGGUACGCGAGCUGGGUUUAGAACGUCGUGAGACAGUUCGGUCCCUAUCUGCCGUGGGCGCUGGAGAACUGAGGGGGGCUGCUCCUAGUACGAGAGGACCGGAGUGGACGCAUCACUGGUGUUCGGGUUGUCAUGCCAAUGGCACUGCCCGGUAGCUAAAUGCGGAAGAGAUAAGUGCUGAAAGCAUCUAAGCACGAAACUUGCCCCGAGAUGAGUUCUCCCUGACUCCUUGAGGGUCCUGAAGGAACGUUGAAGACGACGACGUUGAUAGGCCGGGUGUGUAAGCGCAGCGAUGCGUUGAGCUAACCGGUACUAAUGAACCGUGAGGCUUAACCUUACAACGCCGAAG
rnacentral:rRNA from 1 species